UGCAUUGCAUUUAGCUGCCAGACAAGGGCACGUGGAAAUUGUGAAGGCUUUGCUUGACAGAGACCCACAAUUGGCCAGGAGGACGGAUAAGAAAGGACAAACUGCAUUGCAUAUGGCUGUAAAGGGAAUCAGCUGUGAGGUGGUGAUAUUGCUUCUCGAGGCUGAUGCUGCUAUAGUUAUGCUUCCGGACAAGUUUGGCAACACAGCAUUACACAUAGCAACCCGGAAAAAGCGUGCUGAGAUAGUCAGAGAGUUGCUACGCCUGCCUGAUAGUAAUGUUAAUGCACUGAACAGAGAUCACAAAACAGCUCUUGACAUAGCUGAAGAUCUUCCCCUCUCUGAAGAAUCCUCCGAAAUAAAGGAAUGUUUAUACAAAUAUGGAGCUGUUAGAGCUAAUGAAUUGAACCAACCAAGGGAUGAGUUGAGG
rnacentral:misc_RNA from 1 species